CAGCAGCCACGGUAGUACGAAGGGGGCUAGCGUUGUUCGGAUUUACUGGGCGUAAAGCGCACGUAGGCGGAUCGAUCAGUCAGGGGUGAAAUCCCAGAGCUCAACUCUGGAACUGCCUUUGAUACUGUCGAUCUGGAGUAUGGAAGAGGUGAGUGGAAUUCCGAGUGUAGAGGUGAAAUUCGUAGAUAUUCGGAGGAACACCAGUGGCGAAGGCGGCUCACUGGUCCAUUACUGACGCUGAGGUGCGAAAGCGUGGGGAGCAAACAGGAUUAGAUACCCCUGUAGUCCCUGUCUCUUAUAA
rnacentral:rRNA from 1 species